rnacentral:lncRNA from 13 species
AUGCAAAUUUGUUCCAGUGCAAUUGAUAUAUUGAAGAACAAUUUGAGCAUAAUGCAAAUUUUGCAUUUGUUUCUGUGUGAUUUCAUCCGCAGGACAGCAGGUGAAAGCAGAAAACUGCUUCCAGCUGAGCUGAGCCGUACAGCGUCAAGUGAGAAGCAAACCUGGACCAAGGUGGUUCUUUCCCUGGCCUCGGUGGCUUCCCCGUGCAUGGAUCAGUAUGCUGAAGAAUUGUGAGUGACCUUCUGCAGAGUUCCAGAGUUCUCUGUUAAGCUCUCUUCUUUCUGGUGCUCUGCCCUACAAACUCUGGCUGCCCUGACUUCUUUGGACACCCAGUUCUGUACCCUUAACUCAGGGAGCAUGCUGGGCUCUUCCUGUAUUCCCCAAGUCAGCAGUGAGGACUGAAAACUUUCCCCAGGAAGCAUGCUGGGAUGAUCACGAGGCUGGCCUCAUUUCCUUCCCAUGUCUCAAGGAUUGCUGCCCUUUGUUGAUUCAUGUGCGAUGCCUUGCGAACUGUUGUUGAGUGUUUCAGUUGUUUCAGGAGGGAGAGUACAUACAAUCCCUAUUCUUUCAGUUUAGCCAGAAGUAAAAAUCCUCUGAUUCAAUUUCCUCACCUACAAGCUGUGAAUAGUAAUAGUACCUAGUACCUUAUAGGAUUGUUGCAAGGAUUAAGUAAGUUAGUAUUUGUAAAGCCCUUACACAAUAUCUAGGCUAUGGUAAUUGCUCAAUAAGUAGAAGCUUUCUCUGUUGUUACUGAGGUUAUUGUUCUUGUUGUUAUUAUUAUUUUUGUCAGCAAACAACUUCGGAUCUAUGGUGGGUUUCUGGGACUGCAGAAUUUGCAGUCCCCAGCACAGGGCCUAACACUUCACUGGUGUUAAAUAUUUGUACCUUAACUCCUCCACAGCCAACCCCUUCAGCAGAUAAUCACUUGCCUUUCUACUUUGGAGAGAGCUAGGAAUGGCCUUUGAUAUCUUUAACAGCCAUAAUUUCUAUGCCUCAGAGAUCUAAUUGAUAUGCUCAUCGAGCAAAUUAGCAUUUGCAGCAAACAUAUUUCACUCCAGAUUUAUUAUGCUCCCUAAAUUAAUAUAACAAGGGUAUUCUGAAGAGCAAACCAGAGUAUAAUUCAUGUGAAUCCAGAGGCUGGUCUGUGGGUCUGCUGAGGGAAUUCAGGGCAGAAAAGAGAGCUUAUCCCUUUUCCUAGGCUAACCAUCUGCCCAAAUAGGACAGGGAGCUCAGCUCUCUAAUGAAAGAAAGAAAGAAACCCAUCUGAAAUAUGUAUUGAAAAGAAAUAAAUGGUGGCCUUAGUCCCUCA